CUCCUGUUAGUACCGCUCCCCGUCGCACCUAUCACGGAGGGAGGUGCCAGAUAGAAAUCUCGAUGCGGCGGCGUCUUCCCGACGAGGACCUCCUCAACCGCGCCGUGAAGACCCUCGACGUCCUCCAUGCGGCUACCUCGUGCUAGCGUAGUCGCGUCGCUCCGCGCGGCUCGCAGUCGAUGAGCUCCUUUGGCGCUGGCGCCGAGAAGCAGGACGGCCAGCCGCAACUUUGUCUUCUCAUCUAUAUUUCGUUUUUCUUCUUCUUCUUUUCUUUCGCCCUUAGCAUGUUCUUAUCUUCUUGAUAACUCUGAUCCAUGCAUGUGAUCCCCAAAAAAAGUCUGACCUGACAUGUAUAGAUUGGCAGUUUUCAACAUAAUCUUUAUCCUGCAAAA